rnacentral:rRNA from 1 species
GAGUAACACGUGGGCAACUGCCCAGACUGGGGGAUAACAUUGUGAAAACAGUGCUAAUACCGCAUGACAGGGUUCCGGGCAUCCGGGACUCUUGAAAGGAGAAAUCCGGUCAGGGAUCGGGCCCGCGUCCAAUUAGCUAGUUGGUGGGGUAACGGCCCACCAAGGCGACGAUUGGUAGCCGAACUGAGAGGUUGAUCGGCCACAUUGGGACUGAGACACGGCCCAGACUCCUACGGGAGGCAGCAGUGGGGAAUAUUGGGCAAUGGGCGAAAGCCUGACCCAGCGACGCCGCGUGAAGGAUGAAGGUCUUCGGAUUGUAAACUUCUUUGAUCAGGGAAGAAAGAAAUGACGGUACCUGAAAAACAAGCCACGGCUAACUACGUGCCAGCAGCCGC